GCCACGAUAGCUCAACUGGUAGGGCAUCGGCGUACGAAGCCGAAGAUCGUGGGUUCGAAUCCCUCUCGUGACA
rnacentral:tRNA from 1 species